GUGCUUGCUUCAGCAGCACAUAUACUAACACUGGAACAAUACAGAGAAGGUUGACAUGGCCCCUGCACAAGGAUGACACGCAAAUUCCUGAAGCCUUCCAUAUUUUU